UUCGGGUGUGAAUUAGCGGCGAACGGGUGAGGAACACGUGAAGAAUCUGCCUUCAACUCUGGGAUAACUCCGGGAAACCGGGGCUAAUACCGGAUAUGAGCCUUGAUCGCAUGAUCGGGGCUGGAAAGUUUUUCGGUUGAAGAUGACUUCGCGGCCUAUCAGCUUGUUGGUGAGGUAAUGGCUCACCAAGGCGACGACGGGUAGCCGGCCUGAGAGGGCGACCGGCCACACUGGGACUGAGACACGGCCCAGACUCCUACGGGAGGCAGCAGUGGGGAAUAUUGGGCAAUGGAGGAAACUCUGACCCAGCGACGCCGCGUGAGGGAUGAAGGCCUUCGGGUUGUAAACCUCUUUCAGUAGGGAAGAAGCGAAAGUGACGGUACCUACAGAAGAAGCACCGGCUAACUAUGUGCCAGCAGCCGCGGUAAUACAUAGGGUGCAAGCGUUGUCCGGAAUUAUUGGGCGUAAAGAGCUCGUAGGUGGUUCGAUACGUCGGAUGUGAAAAUCAGGGGCUCAACCCCUGACCUGCAUCCGAUACGGUCGAGCUAG
rnacentral:rRNA from 1 species